AAUUUCUCCCCCUCCCUCUUCAUCCACUCCGAGUCCCCCUUCCCCUCCGCAGCCUCCUCUCCCUCUCCCUCUCCCGAUCCCACCCAGGCCCCAACCCCCUCGACCGCAUCCUCGUCGCCGGGCUCCUCUCCCUCCUCGCCCGCGCCAAGUCCUCCUCCCUCCUCGGCUCCGCCCUCCUCUCCACCUCCACGUCGUCGUCUCCGCGGCUGAGGGUCGCCGCCAUCGAGGCCCGAUUUAGCUCUCUCGAGCUCAUCGGGAGUGGCUCUUUCGGCGAUGUCUUUAGAGGAGGAAGGCAAGAGGAGCACUUGAGUUUGUUUGGAGCAUACUUGACUUCCAAAAGGACCAAGAUGUGAGAAUUAAAGUUGGAUAUGAAAUAUCUCAGCAGGAUGCUGCAUCUCUCUUCAAUUGCAAUCAUGAAGAAAAACUUGAGAGGUCAAACGUUUUUAGGGUGUGAUGACCAUCCUUUAUCGUGGCAAGAAAUAAUGGAGUGUGUGAAACGAAGCGGAAAGUUUAGCAAGGAGUUGAAGAAGCUUCUGCAUUGUCAUAGCCAUUGUAAAUAAUUUAUAUAAAAGUUUGUAAAUAAUUUAUGUAUCUCUCUACUAUUUUUAUGAAUAUAUUAUUUGAA